rnacentral:rRNA from 1 species
GGCGGACGGGUGAGUAACGCGUAGGAAUCUGCCUAGUAGUGGGGGACAACUUGGGGAAACCCAAGCUAAUACCGCAUAAUAUCUACGGAUGAAAGUGGAGGAUCUUCGGACUUCACGCUAUUAGAGGAGCCUGCGUUAGAUUAGCUUGUUGGUGGGGUAAAGGCCCACCAAGGCGACGAUCUAUAGCUGGUUUGAGAGGACGAUCAGCCACACUGGGACUGAGACACGGCCCAG